rnacentral:lncRNA from 1 species
UGUAGUUUAAAAAUGAAGUGAAAUUUGUAGUGGCCUGUAUGUGUUCAGAGUAGUGCUUUCAGCUGGGCCUCAUUAGGCCUCGUCAGGCCACACACCCCAGUUCCUAAGCACAUCCUCCUGGUACCCUCAGCAUAUGUUUUAUUUGAGGCUACAGCAAGCAACAAAGCCAACACUGAACUCAGGCAGGAGUGUGGAAGGGACCUGAGUGUUGCUUUCACUGGGGACCUGAGUCACCGUGGUGGUGGCGGCAGGGACAUCACAUCUGAGCUGUGUUGGGCUGUAUAAACAAUCAUCCUCUUGGCUUACGCUGUAAUUACAUCUCCUUGACAUGGGACACAGAAGAUGCAAGUGCAGAUACUUGGUGGUAUGAAUGCUAUGGAACUACGCUGCUCACUCGAUGCUGGGUGCUUUUCCAAAACGAGGAACUGAUUUGCUUCAGAACUCAUCUCCUUUCAGCAGAAACAGAGGAAGACAGUUGCUUUAAGGUCCAUACAUUGCUUGAAGAGAUGGGAGAAUAUGGUUCUGUUGCCCAGGUUUGUCAUGGAUACUGCAGAAGUCAUUCCAUCAGUUUUAUCUUCUUGUUACCCAAUUGUUUGCCUCAUUAUGAGGGCCAUGGCAUGAAUGUUUGAUAUAUUCGUGGUAAUUAGGACACUUACUGUUCUGAAGAGCCAGCAGUUCACAAUAUGGAAAACAUUUACAACACUUGCAUUUUGCAUUGCUUGCUUCAUUCGGUGGCCGUAAAUGGCAAAAGUUGUGGUCCUACUCUAAAUAUAAGAUAAUCAUAACAUUUUUUGCCUUUGUCAUUGAAAUCCCCAAAUGUACAAAUAAUGUCAGCAAUACUUAAGAAAUAUGUUCAAAUAAAUCAGAAAUCA